UUACGGCUCAGUAACACGUGGUUAACCUGCCCUUGGGACGGAAACACCUCCGGGAAACUGGGGCUAAUUUCCGAUAGGUGAAGGCUCCUGGAAUGGAUCUUCGCCUAAAGGGCGCUUAGGCCAUGCUUCUAGGCGCUGCCCAAGGAUGGGGCCGCGGCCGAUCAGGUUGUUGGUGAGGUAAUGGCUCACCAAGCCUUUAACCGGUUCGGGCCGUGGGAGCGGGAGCCCGGAGAUGGGCACUGAGACAAGGGCCCAGGCCCUACGGGGCGCAGCAGUCGCGAAAACUCCGCAAUACGCGAAGGCGUGACGGGGCUAUCCCGAGUGCCGUCCGCUGAGGAUGGCUUUUCCCCAGUGUAGAUAGCUGGGGGAAUAAGGAGAGGGCAAGUCUGGUGUCAGCCGCCGCGGUAAUACCAGCUCUCCGAGUGGUGGGGACGUUUAUUGGGCCUGAAGCAUCCGUAGCCAGCUGAGCAAGUCCCCAGUUAAAUCCAGCGAUUUAAUCGUUGGACUGCUGGGGAUACUGUCCGGCUAGGGGGUGGGAGAGGCCGACGGUAUUCCCGGGGUAGGGGUGAAAUCCUAUAAUCCCGGGAGGACCACCAGUGGCGAAGGCUGUUGGCUAGAACAUGCCCGACGGUGAGGGAUGAAAGCUGGGGGAGCGAACCGGAUUAGAUACCCGGGUAGUCCCAGCUGUAAACGAUGCAGGCUAGGUGUUAGGGCGGCCACGUGCCGCUCUAGUGCCGCAGGGAAGCUGUUAAGCCUGCCGCCUGGGGAGUACGGCCGCAAGGCUGAAACUUAAAGGAAUUGGCGGGGGAGCAC
rnacentral:rRNA from 1 species